AAUAAUGACUCUUCAAGUCUCCAGCUUCACUGUUACUGGUAUUUUACAGUUUUAUUUUAGUUGGAUAGCUCAUCCAGGAGUUAAUCUUGCCAAGUGUGGAAUACUCAGUUUCAAAUCCAGCAAAACACGCUAAAUAUGUGGUUAGCUUGGCUCUAUGUAUGUGUGCAUAUAUUUCGUUGAUCUCUGUACUAAAAGUCAGGUACAUACAACUUUCAGGAUCGAGUCUAUUUUGCACCUUAUCCUGGUUUUCAGAAGUUUGAAUCUGCUUGGUAUUCUGGAAGAGUACAAGGUACCCUGAGCAAGCGUGUCAUUCAUUAAGCAUGUAUCCAUAAGAAAAUGAAGAAGAGGCAAAGGACCGAAGAAGAGCUAUUGGGGAAAUUGGUUAAAUGUACUGAAGUAUGUGGAGGGCAAAGGCUUAGGACUGUUCCAUUGAGAAUCACUAAAUCACUAUUCUGGAAAUUUCCAGAAGGAAGGCCAGCCAGGACAAGAUUGUCUGUGUACAACUUUCAUCCUACAUAGGUUUUCAGUGGAAGGAUGAAGAUCCAAACAUGCAGAUAGUUUGCAAAUGCUCAAAGACUUCAAAUUCAGAAGCUCAGAAACCCGGAGUGCAGAUUGAGAGGCCUCUAAUGGCCUGUCAUAAACAACAGUAGCCAUUGAGCCUUUCCUAAAGUGAAGAGUCGUUUGAUUUCAUCUAAAAUUACGCUGCUGUUUCAUUACUAUAUGAAACCUGGUUUGGUCCCCAAUUUAAAUCAACCUGCUGUACCAGUUUUAGUGCCACAUAAGGUAUACCUAUUACUUCCAGCCUGAAGGUCAUGGCGAAUCUGCUUCUCAAAUAAAUAUUACUUCAU